AUAUAUCGUUGUUUUUUCCUGUUUUCUACCACAAUACAAUCACAAUACUGGAAACAAAAUGCACAAAAGAUUCUUGCUGUACCAGACCAGGAUUUCCAGGAAUUGCAGGGCACAAAGAGGAGGAGACUGAGCCGGAAAGAUGAAGACGCUGUAGGCAUUGGAGAGGUCACUGAAAAAAUGGAAGAGCUCAUACUGGCAUCAUAAAGCCUACCCAAUGUCACUGCAGCAAUCAGAGAGCUCACCAAUGUGACUGCCACUCAAAGAGUCACCCUGACUCGUUCCCAGCUACAGACCAUCGAGCAAGGCUUCAGCUGUGUUGUUUGUUUGAUUCAUUGAGGAAUCAGUCUUCAUGUAGUGUUGCAAAAGCAUCAUUGGCUGCAAGACAUGUGUGGAACAGUGGCAGGAGACCUCUGACUACUGUGCAAAAUGUAGGGGGAACUUCAGACACAGCAAUGUAUCUGAGGUUAAUGGUCUGUCUGAGACAUUGUCUGUUCUGAAAUCUCUUUUGGAAGAGUAGUAACAUUUUGCACUUUCAUACUCACAGAAAGCCAUGGUGUAUUUGAGUUUAUUUUGUUGACUGAAAAUAUGAGUUAGAGCUGUUGUUCAGAGUUGAUUUAGCAUAAAGAAGGAAGUUGAAAAAUUUGACCACAGUUCUUAUUGACAUCACUAUUUCAUUGACCUUAACAUUUGCAUUAACCUUUUUUCUUUACCAAACACAUACUGUCACCAGUUACCUGUUCCUGUUACUAAUUUCCAUUCUGUAAGUGCAAAUGGAGCAAAUGGCAUUUAACACAUUGGGCUGAGUUGUAGUUAUGAGAUGGAGCAAGGCCUCUUUGUAUGGAGCAAAGUCAUUGUUCACUGCUCUGGAGAGCAAGUCUGAUAUGUCUGAAUAUUUCUCUGCAAACUGAUUCUCAACUCCAAGUUUGUUCUGUACGGCUGAAAAUGGAUCAACUCCAAAAGUAGAAUAUGUGGUUAGUUCGGAUCCCAGUUGUUGGCUGUACACAUCUGCUGCUUCAACUGAAUGAGGCAGCAGCUCCUGUGGGAUUUUUCUGGGACAACCACUGCCAGCCAAGUGGUUUGGUAUGCCUUUACCUGGAAAAUAAAAAAACAUAUGGUUGAUCAUGAAA